rnacentral:rRNA from 1 species
CAGUAGCCGCGGUAAUACGGAGGGUGCAAGCGUUAAUCGGAAUUACUGGGCGUAAAGCGCACGCAGGCGGUUUGUUAAGUCAGAUGUGAAAUCCCCGAGCUUAACUUGGGAACUGCAUUUGAGACUGGCAAGCUAGAGUCUUGCAGAGGGGGGUAGAAUUCCAGGUGUAGCGGUGAAAUGCGUAGAGAUCUGGAGGAAUACCGGUGGCGAAGGCGGCCCCCUGGGCCAAUACUGACGCUCAUGCACGAAAGCGUGGGGAGCAAACAGGAUUAGAUACCCCUGUAGUCCCUGUCUCUUAUAC